rnacentral:lncRNA from 1 species
UAUUUCUAGAAUUUAUCAAUCAUCCCCUUCACAUCCAAUCACAACUGUUCAAACUUGAAAACGUAGGUUUUCAAGGCAAUUUGAAGGAAUCACGGAAUACUACUAAUAUGGUCCGUUACAAAGAAUCCUUGUCAUUCAUAUGCAGUCCAUUUCUUCAUCGAGAGGUCAAGAAGAGGAUAGUUCUAGAGUUAUAAAACUAGAUCAAGAUGGGGACCCCGUCCAUGAAAGUCUGCUUGAAUUUAUUGUGCUGUGCUAACUUCGAUCCUUCACUUAUGCUUCUCUCACUACCUCGAGAAACGACUCUGUUCUUUGUAGUAAUUAACCAUCUUCAUAUUACUGGGAGGAUUUUGUAUCCUAAAGAAUGGAAGUCAAAAAAUGGAUUCAAGACCCUUCCGAAAUAAAACAGGAUUUUUAGUGGUUGAUAAAUACAAGAACCCGAUUGAUCUGUUAAUUUGUUGAGCUUUGAGGAUUGAAUAGGACAAGGAGAUCUUCAAAGUUUGAGGUUCAAAUUCAAACUCAGAAAGUCCAUGCCUUGAAUGAAAAUAUUGAACAUCGAUAACUAUGAAAUUAUAAAGAACUUCCUUCUUAAAGAGCGAAUCAAAAUAGAUUAUAUUAAUUCUUGUUUUUGUAAAUAUAAAUGAUGAAAAUAUAUAUUUAAAGUCAAGAUUUUAUUAUUUAAGAUCUGUUGUGUAUAUCUUGUCUGUCCUACGACAGAUUACGAUCACGAUCUCUACUAGGAGAAUUAACGGUUCUAAUGGAUUUCAAUCUCUACUGUGACAUAUACUUUGUCAAGAUUUUAUUUGAUAAGUGAUUUUUAGUUAAGAAAACCUGCACAAUCGGUCGGCCGGGAUGUAUUUUUGGAUAUUAUAUGGGAUUUAUGAUGCUCAGGGAAGUGGCUGUAGAAGAUUCUUUUUCACUCAAUAGUUAGAGUACACUUGAGUGAACUGCUACCUGAAUGUACGAAAUACGAAUAAACUGUAAAGGAUUCGGUUCUUUUGAUGAUUUAGUUCUUUUAGUGAAUUAGUUAUUUUGUAAAAACAGAUCAGUUGGUAUGUUGGUAACUUUGCAAUUGUUCGUGUCUGCAAAUUAGAGUGCACUCAAAGUAGCAAACUAAUGAAAUACCGUCCAAUACACAAAUAUAUGCUUCUUCACUUGAAUAUAUUGAUAAUAACUUAUUAAAAAAGUCAAGGUGGAUAGAAAUACUUGAUUGAGGUUAAGUUAUAUAUUCUAUAUAUGGGAAACUUACGGUAUAAACGAACGAAUCAUUCAUACAACUGAGUUGGUUCAGUACGUUCACUAAAAAGAGUUGUCCAAAAGAACGAAGUGAUCACGGACGACACAGCACUAGUCAAGGACUAGUAGAAGAAAUGAACUAGUACACCAAUUAAAAUGAUAUGGUUUUAUAUACUAAUUCUUACUUUUUGUUUUAUUCAUUUAUUUUCUAUCAAUGUUGUAUUAAUCCUCUGAUAU